CUGGAGUCAAAAAUAAGGCAAAUCUGAAAAACCUCAAAAAUACAGAUUAAGAUUGUUUGCUUCAACACUGUUUAUUUUAGCCCUUUAUUCAUCCGCCUGUAAUUAUCUCAAAGCUUGAAUAUAAUAAAAGAGGCAUUCAUUUUCUUGGCACAAUGGAUAAUGCUGUUAAUCUUUACUGCCAAGAAUAACUGCUUGUAUGAUUAUUAUCAAGUGUGCUUAUCAAAUACGUAAGUCAAUAAUGGCAACUAAACAUAUGAAAGUGAUAUUAACAUCCAGAGGAAGAAACAGAAGCUUACAUACAUUUAUGGAGUCCAUGGGGAAUUAUUGGGCAUCUACAAAGCAAUAUUUAUAGGGCAUUUAAAUACGAUUUUAAAAAAUACAAAAUAAAAUAUAUAUAUAUUUUUUACCAAUAUAUCACUGACAUAAGGUGUGUGAGGUUGUAUAUUGUAACUGUUAUAGUUAUAGACAGUUACUGAAUUUAUAUACUAGACAGUUGACACACCCCUUACACCCCAGGGAUAUCUGUGAUAUAUUGGUAUGUAUAGCAAGUACAAAUUCAUAUAACCCCCCCAGCCCCCCCCCCCCCCCCCACACACACACACACACACACACACAACCACAAAUGAAAAGGCAACAUUACCCUGAGGACAAUCGGAGAACCAAAUAAUAAGGAAUAACACAAAAAUUCACCCCCAAAAAACUAUUUGUGUGUGUGUGUGUGUGUGUGUGUGUGUGUGUGUGUGUGUGUGUGUGUGUGUGUGUGUGUUUUUUGGUGUGUUAGUCCUGCUUAGUGGAAACUCCUUUUUGAUGAGAACAACUCUAUUGUAACUCAAAUGUAUACAGUAUUUUAACUCAACUAAAACUCAAAUACAACCAUGGUGACCAGAAAAGCAUUUAACAACAUACAACAUGUAUCCCUUGAGGCGGAUGGGUGGAAACUUGCUGAUAUAAGUUCACACAAGAAUGGCCAGACUAACGGGACAGCUACGGUAACUUAAAUAGCCACUCUAUACAACUCUGGUGAGCAAAAAAACAUCUCACAACAGAUAUGUCAAAUCCUGAGAUGGAUGGGCUACAACAGCAAAAGGCCUCAUCUGGUUCCACUCCAGCCAAGAACAGGAAUCCGAGGCUGUAGUAGGCACAGGAUUACCAAAACCUGAUUCAAAUCAAUCCUCACCUCAUAAAAUGGUUCAUGUGUAAUAAAUGUGCAGUAAAAGUUGACUGCAGGUUUCACACAUGCUUACGAUAGGAAAUUCCACACACACACUGCAUGAUAUUUGUCCAGAUUUUCUCGUUCUUGCAUUUAUUUUCACAAAGCACAGGGACUCAGGGAUCAGACACGUUUUGACAAGGUUCCCUCCAGGUGAUAGAUUGUGUAAAGCGUGAGCAUCGACUGCGCAUCGCUAUGUCAACAAGACAACACAUCGCGAACGAUAAAUGUCACGUCGUGUGAGAAAGUACAGCGAUUCUGGGAUUUUGAAACCCGUGUAGCGCCCAGUGGGCAGAACUGAUUAUUGAUUGUGAAAAUCCCUAUAGCCACAUGAUAAAAUCUCGUAAUAUGUACGUUUUAAGCAUAUGUACGUUUUCUAAAGGUGACCUCACUUUAAAGAAGAUGAAAACAAAUCGAACGUAUCUCUCUCGGAUUCACUUUCAAUUCCACAGCGAAUCGGCAUGUAAGAUGAAUCCUCCUACAGAGCGUUCGUCACAAAGGCAAAACAAACGAAGCAGACGUAUUUAAUCCUCAUCCGAUUCACCUUGUAUGCGUUUUUGUUCGACAUUUCAAACUCUUUUCUGUGAUGGAAAUUCUUGCCAGCACAAAAGUACAGAAAAUCUUUUUGCUCAAAAAGAAUCCUUGUGAGUGACCUAGAACACACUCGUAGACCCCUGAGUCUCCGAAUCAAUCGCCUACUGUAUCCAGUAUCUCUGACUGGAUUCAGCAAGAUUAAAAAAAAAGGAGUCAGCGCAAGCUUUUAAGCACGUCAGUCCAUCAAGAGAGAACCGUGACUGGAUGAUUAUCGAUCCUUAUACUAGAGACCCCACAAUCAAACACACUCCGUUCACUUCUAUAUAGAUGUGUAUGUGUAUAUUGUCAAAAACAACCAGUGGUGGAACUACUUUUCAAGCGAAACUCUUUUUUUUUUUUUUUUGGUGGUACUUACAAAAGUCCCUGGAACAACUACAAAAAAAAAUACCUAAAGUACAUCUUUAAGGACUGUACAAGAUCUCUGAAGGUGUGCUGUGGUAUCUGGCACCAAGACGUUAGCAGCAGAUCCUUUAAGUCGUGUAAACUGAAAGGUGGGGUGUCCAUGGAUCGGAUUUGUUUGUCCAGCACAUCCUACAGAUGCUCGAACGGAUUGAGAUCUGGGGAAUUUGGAGGCCAAGUUCAUUAUACCAUUCCUGAACAGUUUUUGCAGUGCGGCAGGGCACAUUCUGCUGCAAGAGGCCACUGCCUUUAGGGAAUACCGGUGUCACGAAAGGGUGUACUUGGACUGCAACUCUGUUUAGAUAGGUGGUACAUGUCAAACUAACAUCCAAAGUAGGUACUCUUGGUAGAUGCUAACCACUGCAUACCAGGAACACACAACAAGACUUGUCGUUUUAGAGAUGCUCUGACCCAGUCGUCUAGCCAUCUCAAGUUGUCUCUUGUCAAAGUCACUCAGAUCCUUACGCUUGCCUGUUUUUCCUGCUUCCAUCACAUCAACUUUGAGAACUUGACUGUUUACUUGCUGCCUAAUAUACGUCACCUCUUUACAGGUGCUAUUGUAAGAAAAUCAAUGUCAUUCACGUCACCUCUCAAAUUGUAAUUGUGGUUACAAUGUUUAAUUGAUCGAUUAAUAUAACGCUUUUUAUCCAUUUCAAGUUACAGAUAAUGUUGUGGAAUGUCUGCAAGUUAGCACUUACGUGAUAUAAACAGUCAUUCCAUCAACAGCUUCUCUUUCUUAAAUCAAUAAGACAAAAAUCUCCUCGAUCUUGAAGACUUUCCCAUAGUGGAAUGCUUACUGACACUGGAGACUCCUUCCAUGAACUGUUACUAUAGAAACAAUGAAGUGUUAGAACAUAAAUAUAAACCUGAGAUUUGAAUUACAGCUAGAGCUACUGUCCGAUCUUAGAAAAUUCAUCAAUAUCCUGUAACCAAUCAGGUGAUAUGAAUAAAUAUUUGUGUAAUCACACCUUGUUUCUGAAUUUGAGUUUUUAUAGUACAAAAAAGCUAUUUCAUUUAAAAGUAAAUAAAUUGCUAAAACUGCAGCACCGUAGUUGUGUGAUGUGAUGUGAGAGGCUGAAAAAUUCUGUGUGUAUUGCUGAACCCCACAGUGGCAUACAAGCACCAAAAAUGGUUUUGAUGUCUUAAGCCCAUGUAUCUAGAAAGCUUUUCUUUAAGAGUGCAAGGCUGCUGCAUUCAGAUGUACAUAAAGUCAACACUAACACCUUAUAGUACUAUUCAUAUGCAUUAGAACGUCAUAAAGCAUGGAUAGAAGCUAUUUGGUGACACUUUACCUAAGGCCAGUCCUCAUAGGGCUACAUGACAACAAAAAUAAUCAUUCAUAAUUUUUUACAAUGCUCAUUUAAGAGACAUCAGCUGUCACAAGGAUUCAUCUUUACAAUCUGACAUCAUGCCAUCGUUAUCACACCCGAGUCAAUUGAAAUGAUAAAGCAAGUUUAAUAUUUUGUGCUUAUAAGCUUGUUAUGAAUACCUGUGGCAAUGCUAUGACAUUAAAAAAUAUAUAUAUAUAUUACGUUUGUGUGCUUUGUUCAACACAUCGUCACAUCAUUAUACAAGAACUAUACUGAGCUACAGUCAGUUUUCAUGAUGUUCUAUAGUGAUGCAACACAUAUGUUAAUAUCACUAUAUCACUUGACAAACCCGGUCUCUAUGACAGCUGACAAUAAAAAAAAAAUCAAUCUAUAUAAAUAUCUAUGUAGGUUUAUGUCAGUUGUCAUGAAGCAUUUAUGUAGGUGUCCUGUUGACAUAACACUUAUAAUUGUCUAUGUAGGUUUAUUUCAGUUGUCAUGAAGCAUUUAUGUAGGUGUCCUGUUGACAUAACACUUAUGUCAGCUUUAUGACAGCUAACAACUGCCAUAGUGUCAACCUGAACAUUUAUGAGUUUAAAACAGCUUUAUGACAUAAUGACAGCUAACGACUGUCAUAAAGUGUCAAACUGACAUCAAAACUGCCUUUAUGACAGCUGACAAUUUGUCUAUCAGCUUUAUGACUUUAUGACAGCUAACGACUUCUGAAAUAAGCUUGAGUAGAUGUUCAAGUAAGUAUGUUUAUGCCAGUUGUUACAAAGCGCUUAUGUAAGCAUCAUGCUAACAUAACAUUUGUGUCAACAGUAUGUGCUAUGCCGCUUAUAACGUUAAGGUGUUAUGUCAACUUGUCAUCAAAACUGACAAACACUGCCUUAAUGACAGCUGAAAGUUGUUGAAAUAAGCCUAUAUAAAUAUCUAUGUAGGCUUAUAUCAGUUGUCAUGAAGAAGUUACAUAG
ensembl:lncRNA